rnacentral:lncRNA from 1 species
CAAAAAUAAACCUCUAAUUCAUCACCCACAUGAGUAGUCGGAAUGAUUUUCUUCAGCAUACAGUGUCUCUGUGGCUCCCAGCACAAUAGGUGAUGUUGUGCUGUUGCAUGAUGAUUCAAAGUCCAACAACAGGAAAAGAGCUUUCUAUUAAUUUCUUUGAGCUUUCCACUUGUCUUACAGAGGCAACUUAUGGUUCAAGCCGCAGCUGCAGAAGCCUCUCUCUAGGAUGGAUUGAAAUGGAUGGGCACCAAGCAAGCAGGAGGCUGCAGAAACCCCCCAGGAUCCCAGCGUUAAUUCCAUCACUGUCUGUUAGUGGCCAGUGGCACUGCUGACAAAAGUGCCAUCACAGUCCAUAAGCUGCUGCUUCCACGCGUGUUUUGGGGCCCUGAUUGCACCAAUGGCUCUUCAUUGUCCUGGUCAGCCUCACCUCCACCCACAGCCCUUGCUCAUCAACCCAGGGAUCCCAUUUAGGCUCUGACUGGGCUACUGAGCUCUGGUUUGAGCUAUGCUGCAGGACUGGGGUGGUUUGCAGUUUGGCCAUGCACUUUCCUGGCAAUGAAUGCCACUGAUCCAGACUCCAGUGCACAGACUGACUUCUGCCCUGGCUCUGGAUGUGCCUUGCUGCUGUGGAUCUGCCUGAAUAUGACCUGUGGUUUGACUUCAAACCUCCCUCAUCACCAUGGAUUCUCCAGUGAGCUGAGUUUUCAGCUGAGCCUGGCUGCUUUCUGUGGCCUGCCUUGCUUGUGUGUUGUGAAUGGGCUCCCGGCUGGUGAGGCCCCAGUGCUGCCAGUCAGACCUCGCAAAAGUGCUGGGCACCUUGGAUACAGAAGAUCUCAAAGCAGUAGCUGAAUUUCCUAAAUCAAUUCUUUUAGCCAUGGAACUGUCCAGGCAGUUUUCAAUGUGGUGUGCUCCCUUUGUUCCAGUGCCCAGCAGCACUAUUACCACAGAAACCUUUGCUCAAGCAGUUGCCUACACCAGAAUUUUAAGUUUGCAUGUGCAGGUCAGGAGCACCCAUCAGCUGAGAGGAGCAGCACCAUGGGAUCCUCUACCCAAAUGA